CCCAGACCCCCCAGGUUUAAUUUGGGGAGGGGUCUCACAGGUUUUUGUCCCCCCCAGACCCCGGGGAUUUAUUUGAGGACCCCCCCAGACCCUGGGGUUUAUUUUGGGGAGGGGUCUCGCAGGUUUUUGUAUCCCCCAGACCCCGGGGUUUAUUCUGGAGACCCCCCAGCCCCCGGGGGUGUUAAUUUGGGGAGGGGUCUCCACCCCCAGACCCCCAGGGUUUAAUUUGGGGAGGGGUCUCACAGGUUUUUGACCCCCCAGACCCCCGGGGUUUAUUUUGGGGAGGGGUCUCGCAGGUUUUUAACCCCCCCUGACCCCGGGGGUUUAUUUUGGGGACUCCCCAGACCCCGGGGGUGUUAAUUUGGGGAGGGGUCUCACAGGUUUUUAACCCCCCCAGACCUCGGGGAUUUAUUUGAGGACCCCCCC